GGGGAUGCAAUGCAUCGACAGGAAUUGCUCUUUUACAACUGCAAGCCGGCAAUGAUUCAAAGCCGUAAAAAUGGAUCAAAACACAAAUGCUAAAAACGACGGAGUCGUUAAGGCACGUGGACUCGUAGCUCGUCUAGCUGACGGGGUCUCUAAGGGGCUUGCUCCUCAGGGACGACUUGCUUACGCUGUAUAAGUGUAAGUGACGCGGUUCACACCGUCUAUACCGUUUCUUUUCUCAAACGGAUUAGGUAUAGACAUAAACCAGUUUGAGAUAGGAUUUAGAAAGUGAUUGGUUCUAGAUUAGAAAAUUAAAAUCUUGGAAUUGUUUUUCUUGUUAAUAAGAUCAAAACAAAACGACAAUAAAGUAUUAACUACGCUUGUAGAUGUUGUAGGAAGUUAUUUUUGGACGGGAGAUCAAACUCCCCAUCUCCACAU
rnacentral:tmRNA from 1 species